rnacentral:lncRNA from 1 species
UAUGAACUAGCGAGAGAACGUAGAGGACGUUAUAUGCUUGUGUUGAGCAAAAUACAGAGCUUGCAUCCAUGGCCAGCCUCGAUCCCACGGGUGUGCUGGGAGCGCUUGUUUCUGAAGCUGUCAGAGAAGUGAUUGGGCUUGCCAAGUCUGCCAUUCAUUGCAAGAAGAAGUGCAGGGAGUUGGAAGAUUCAUUGACCAAAGCAUCAGAUCUGCUAGGUGAAAUGAAUUCUGCUGCCGAGGGCUCUCUGAGCUCCUCACAACUGGAUUCCUGGCUGAAAGCCCUCCAAGCCAAGGUUGAAGAGGCUAAACCUCUUGUUCUUGAAUGUCAGUCUCUGCAAAAUCCCAUUCUAGAUGGCCGAAAGAGGUAGUUUGGUUGUGCUUCUCUUGGGAUAUUUCUGAAUUUCUGAAUUGAGUUUGUGAUUUUGUUUCAGGAUACAGCUUGCUACCAAGAUCGAACACUGUUCCAAGGCGAUCCAUGGGCACUUGGCUGCAGCUUCUCUACAUCUUGGCGUUGAGAUUCUGAAGAACAUUGAUACAUUGAAGAAGCACAAUGAGGUCCCGUCUAAUGUCGUUCCAAAGGAAGAACAGCAUGUUGUUCCUCUGGAUAAGCACAUUUUCGGUAUGGAAGAGACGCUGGAGCGGGUUGUAUCAGACUUGCUGGAGUCCCCUAUAAGCAGGAAGUGGGUUGGAGUCCAUGGAGCAGGAGGUGCUGGAAAAACACUCCUGGCCAAACGAGUAUGUGACAACGAUCAAGUCAAGGGGCGUUUCGAUCCAGUUUUGUGGCUAACAUUCGGUCAGUCGGUUCAGGUACAUUCCUUAAGCUUAUAAUGCAACAUAUUGAGCGGCUAUGGUUGGAUCUCCUCAGGUGGAAGCAAAGCAAGACGAACUUGCCAAAAAAAUCCAACUAGAAGGCGAUAAGAUCAGCAAUGAAGCACUGAGGAGGGGGCUUGUUGGGAAGAGAUGCUUGCUAGUGUUGGAUGAUGUCUGGAAGUUCAACGAUGUGAAUCUCUUUGAUGUGGUGCAAGAGAAUGGAAGCAAGAUCUUCAUUACCACUCGAAAACAUGAUGUGCUUGACAGUAGAGGUGCAAUCAAAACCGAGAUGGGGCUCUUGGGAAAGGAAGACAGCAUGAAGUUGUUCGCAGUCCACGCAUUCCCAAACCAAAAUCACGCUCAAGUCAGCAAGGCAGUGGUGGAGCAAGUUGUGGAAAAGUGUGGGGGGCUUCCACUGGUCUUGGAGGUAAUUGGCAGGAGAAUGGCAGCCACACAAGAUUGGGACUACGUUCUGAGCAAACUCAAGGAUCAGCAAGUUAUUGCUCUUGAUGAGGAAGAACAGGUACUGCAGCGACUCAAGCUGGGUUACGAUGCAUUAUUGCCUCUUCGCAUCCAGCAGCACUUUCUCUUCUUUGCUGCAUUUCCAGAAGACUGGCCGAUUCGAUUUUGGGAGCUGUUCAGGUGUUGGAAAGGGGAAGGGCUGGUUGCCAACACAGCAGAGGCCAAGAAUGUUUUAGAAAGGCUCAAGAAUCACGCACUUAUCACUGAAGAAGGAAAAGACCGGCCAGGGGAGAAUAAGAGGUACAGGAUUCACAAUGCGAAAGCAGAAAGCUAUUUGGGAAAUAGGAGGUACAGGAUUCACGAUGCGUUGCUGGCUCUUGCUUUGCACAUCCUGGAACAAGAAGGCCCCAAGUGUUAUUUCAAGGCUGGGCAGUCGCAGAUGAGGGAUGUGGGGGACGCCUUCACGAGUAACUACAGCAGGAUUUCACUGUUUGAGUGUGGAAUUUCGGAAAUCCCUCUGCCUAAGAAGAACAGGGUCAAAGUUUCCAGCACCACUUGCCUGCUCUUGGAUUAUAAUCUCGAUCUCACUGCAUUGCCAAGCCUCUCUCUUUUCAAAGGCUUGAAGGUUUUGUGCCUGAGUCACACUGAGGUGGUAAGUCUGCCACAUAGCAUUGGACAGCUCAAGACUCUGGAGACUCUGGAUUUGUCUUGGAAUGCUUCACUCAAAAGCAUCCCAGAUUCACUGGGCAACUUGGCGAAUUUAUCAUAUUUGAAUUUGCAAGACUGUCCGAAACUCAAGUCUUUCCCUGUGGAUGCUUUGCUCAAACUCACCAAGCUGGUCUACUUAAACGGAGGUGCAUGUUUUACAAUGUGGACAUGCCACAGGCUGCAUCAUCGGUUUUUGAAACAUCUGAAAUGCGUAAACAGAAGGCUUGGAAGGGAUGGGAUGUUUCAAGCAUUGACAGAGUUGGAGGUGUUGAUUAUCAAAGCACAUUUGGGUAUUGGCGUGCCCACCAUUUCUCAACUGGCAUCACUCAAGGUCCUCAACAUCGACACCUGUCCCUCCUUGAAGGACCUCUCCAUCUCGUUCCUUCCAAAGCUAGAGACAUUUACUCUAGGUUUCUGCGACGAAGUGACCACCAUCAACAUAUCCGAGUGCCCAUCACUGAGAGUUGUUCAUAUCGAGUACAUUCACAGGCUUGCCCGUGUUGCAUUCGGUGGCAAGUUCCCACGACUUGAAGAAAUAAUCCUUGAAGGACUUCAACAGCUGUCAGAUGUCUCUUUAGGUGCCGUGGAUGCCUUCCCACAGCUGAUGCAGCUGCAAAUACAAGGCUGUUGUAUUGACCAAUUACCAGAAUGGUUCGCUUCACUCACAACAUUGAGAACUCUGAGAUUAAUUUUUUUGGGGAAGUUGGAUGUGAUACCCGAUGGUGUUGCAAGGCUUCCUCUGCUAAGAAGGCUUGAUCUGCAAGGUUGCGAGAAGAUCCGCGUGUUACCCUUUGCAGAUUCUGAGGACAGCUCCUUCUAUCCAUCCCUGAAGUACUUACGCUUAUGCAACACAUCCGUCUCUCGAAAGCACCUCUCGCAACGCCUUCGAAAAAUUGCAGAGUUACGUUUUUUAGAAGAUGAGGACCUCUGCAAUAACCAAAUCUCAAAUUAACGAAGCUUUGGAACAACAUUGUGCAAACCUGCGAAGGGUAACAAUCUGCAAAGAGUCCAUCUUUCAUGAUCAGUGUCAUGUUGGCAGUACUCCAGUUCAACCUGGAAAACGAACACACAGAAUCAUAGUAAACCUCGUUUUACCUCGAGCAAACAAACCAGCACCCCAUCUUAAGAGUGCUCCACCGGGAAAGAAGAGCAUCUCGCCCGCGAUCUGACGAAGCCGAGCGUGGUAUUCCCCGAGGAAUCCACCGCUGCGCGGCCUGGCGGCUGCUGCUGGUGGAUGCUGUUGGCGAUAUCCACGCAGGUGUUCCAGAUCCGGUACCUCAGCUUCCACAUUUGCAGCCGCUGCUCCUCGGAGAGCUCGGAUUUGAGGCCAAGCACGCAUUCUUGGAGCUCGGAGAAGUCUGCUCGAUGUCGCAAACGAGGCGCUCGAUUCUCCGCAGCGGAUUCACAUUAGCCUCAUCGCCGAUCCCUGGAUCACCAAGUACCUCCGAGAUGAGCAUCGUGAGACGCUCGUCCUCCCGCGCCAUAAACCCUAACCUUUUCCUCUUUGUUAACCGAUCGGUGCGCCAGCAAUGGAGGCGCGGAAGGUAUGGAAUCUCUCGUAGUUGCCGCUUCACAGCGUUAGCUUCCAGUCUUAGCACUGUUGAGCUUGAGCAAGAUUUUCCGCGAGAGGUACGUUCGCUACACGCGACUAGAGUGAGUGGUGCGUGCUUGAGUCUUCUUUCCGUCCGUUUUUAAUGGUUUCGCUUAAAAAAUUCCUGGUUGUCUGGAGGAAUCUCUGAUAAUGGGUCCUUCUGGUGAAGCAGCUCGAGAGGACGGAUCCAGAGAGCUCCCUCGGCGUCAUGUCGACGACGAAAUUCCCAAAUCGUCUUCGCCAACGAUACGCUACCUUCUCAAGAGGAGUGGGUAUCGACAUGCUCUUUUCAGUGGCAUCGUCACACUCAUCAUGGGAGGGUUGGUUUUUUCCUUCAUUUGAUCUUUUUUCUUCGGGUUGCAGAGCGGUCCUUCUCAAAUGCAUUCACUGCCACAGGAAUUGUCUGCGGCUUCCUGAUAAUGCUCGUUGUGGCCUCGGCAGAUACUUACACUUGUGAUCAGCUUCUCAGACAAGCUUAUUCUCGAUUAUGAGUCUCUUGCUUUCCACAUUGGUGGGAAGUGGUGGAAGGUUCUCUCUCUCUUUUUUGUUUUUGUUUUCUUUUUUUGAAGUUUCUAAAAGCUUUCUCUCUUUUCUUUUUUUUCACAGCUUGCUACCGAAAUUAGCAUAGUGGUUCUGCCCAUUGGGACCAUUAUAGGCAGCAUUCAGGAAGUCAGUGAAGCUGCUGUCAUCGGCAUUGAAAACAUCACUUCCAAUGUUAACAGGUAACAGGCGUGUGCUUAUGAUCCUGUCUGUCGUCUUCAUUGUCGCUCCAUUUUGCCUGGUGGAAAAACUGAAACAGGUAUAAUUUUCCAAACAGGUGGUGCUUCGUGCUUUUGUUAUUGCCGUUGCGUUGCAGCCCUAACCACACUGUAAAACGUCAACAAAUGUAAGCAACAGUUACAUUUCCUUGCUGACAUUGUUUUCUAUUUUCUUUACUCUCGAGCUCUCGGAAUCACUGGAAUCCAUUCUUGAUGGCUAGAGUCAUGUUGAUACUGUAACGGGGCUCUGUGUCUGAUGCCAUCUCGAACUUAAACUCUGGCAACAGAGCAGCUACCAGAGACUUCAUUUGCAGCGUAGCCAUAGACAGGUCUGUAUCUCACCACCAUCUCUCAUCGCCAUCUCGCCAAGACCGAGGAUCAAACUCGGUGUUUAUGUGUGUGACUUAACUGAUGCCUUCUGUUUUGCUUUCCAGGCUGUCUGCCAAACCAGCCGAGAGGGCCGAGACGUCGUCAAAGUCGUCCGCGAAAGACAUAUCGCCGCGCUCGAGAAGCCCGUCACCGGCCCGUCCCGUGACGCCUCCCAGGGCCUCGCCUCCCAGGCUCGUCGACGAGCUCAAGCUCCAGCUAGAAAAGGGGGAGAUGCUCAAGAGAACCAUCCCGGCAAAUGCUGGAUCAGCAGCAGCAGCAGCACCGAGGCAGUGGAUUGGUGUGUAGAGGCGGUGGAGAUGAUUCGCAGUGCCAAGUUUUAAAGGUUUUGGACUGUGGAAGGCAGCAGCAGCAAGCUAAGAACAGGCCAAACUCACAGACACACACACACACACACAGACACUCUCCUCUUUACCAAGUGAGAAAACAAAGAGAGUAUAGCUUAUAUGUGAUACUUAUAACUCUUCCAAAAUUUCUCUCUCUUUCUAUAGUUUUUUUCUCAUCUGGAGAGCAUUUUCGCUUGAUGGAAAGUUGAUCACAAACAAUGCCCUCGGAAAGAUUGUGGAGGGUUGUUUUGUAUAGAACAGACAAAAGCAAAGAAAAAUACUGUGAUUAAAACUCUUUGAACGUGACUACUAAGAAUUUCUCUCUAGUUUAAGGCUGUGUCCCAAAGACGGCACAUUUAGACUGGCGCUUUCUCUGAGGGGGCGGGGGUGGACAAAAGUAGGGGCGUGAGUGCAUGGAAGCUUCGCGGUUUGGUUGCCUAAAGUCGAGUUGCCACACUAGGAAUCAGUGUUAUGCGUUGCUACCUACAAGAGCCAGCCAACGAAGAAGAAGAGAAGAAGAUUGGGUUUGAGUGGCCUAGCCCACUCAAACUAGAACACGCACAUACUCUCUUUUGCUAUUGGUCCACCACCAAAUUUUGCACUUGUACACAAACAUCAGGUACAUAAGUAUGUUGUUUAAUUUUAUUAACAAGGAAAGACACUAAGAAAUGUGAUCAAGAUAUAUCAAAUUAUCUUAAUAUUUCCAAUCUCAAAAAUAUCAAGCUUUUUCACAGCACUUUUCUGAAAAUAUCUGCAAAGAAAUGUAAUAAAUUUUAUUAAAACAAAACUAAAUAAUCUGACUAAUAUUUGUGUUCAUAUUGCAUUAUUCUUCAAAAUCAUGAUAUUGUGAGACAUUAGAUUCAACAAUUAUAUAAUAUAGCUUACAGAUAAUUCUUUGUUUUUGCACUUUUACCAAGUAAAUGUGAUUGUAAAGAGAAAGAAAAUUAGUUAAAAUAUUAAAAAUUAACUCUUGAACCAUACUUAUUUAGGCUGAAAAAAAUAUUUACUCCAGAAUCUUUUUACUUCUAAUAGAUUAUAUUAUUUUGAAGUUAUAGUUUUUAUUUUUUGAAAAAUAUUGUACUAAAUAUAAAAGUGAAGUAUAAUUUUGUUAAUUCCUUACUUUGAAAAAUAAAGAACCCAAAUAUUAAACUUAAUUUUAAAAUAAAAGGAGGUAAUAACACAAAUGUAUCUUUUUUAUUAUGUUUAUAUCAUAUUUUGUUAUCUUUAUAAUAAUUACAACCAUCUUCACUAAUAAAAUAGUAUUAUGAGUUUUAGAUUACAAAUUUAAAUAUUUACAAAUUAAGGUAUUAAUCUUGAGAAAACUUUAACUUUAUUGUUUCCUCUCCAAGGGUUUACUAUGUAGCAUGCAAAAAUAUCAUUAUUUCUUUUUUUGUUAUGUAAUAUAGCACAUAAAAUAUAAUUAAAUAUAUAAUUUUCCCCAAAAGGCAAAUCAAUGGUUAUUUAUAUGUUUAUUAACUGCCAAAAUAAAUGCACCAUGUUUGUGCUUAACUCAAAAAAUGUAUAUUUGAGUGUAAAAAAUAUUAAAUAACAAUAAUUAAAAUUUUAAAAAAAGGCUUUAUAAAACACAAAUGAAAAAUAAAGUUCAGAAUAAUUUAUUAAAGUGUUCUAAGGAAGAAAAAAAAUUUACACUACACUAAAUUUGUAUAAUUUUAAUUUAUAAUUAUUCUUAACUUUUAAUUUUGGCAAAAUUUAACUUUUACUUAUUUAAAAAGAUAAAAUAUAAUUAAGUUUCAAAUCAUGUUAAAAAGUUUACCCUAACAAACAGAACUUUAGGUUUAGUGGUGAUGGACGAGGCUUCUACAAGUGUGGGAAUCAGUCCGGUAGGGAAUGUGGGCUUGGAUCCAGCUUACCCUUGUCUUGUCCUUUUACAGGAUUACUACAUCGAAGUUAAAUAUUCCAUUUGGACUUAUUAUGUUCGUCCUCACUCCACAAUCCAUGUCAUUCAUCUUUGCUCCACUAUUAUAUUUGUUUAUCCUGACUUUAUCAUUAGGGCUAGACUCCCAUCUGUCCUUUCUACCCCCUCCAAAGAAAAAAAAAGUUUGAAGUGUCAGGGCAGAAAUGAGAAACUGAAAAAAAUUAAAGACAAAUAAUUGUGGAAGAAGAAAAAAUGGAUAAAGAAGUAUCAAAAGAGGAAUUUAUAGUAGUUGGCAAUAUAGAAAUAAAAAAAUCAAAAGAAUGACAUGUGCUCAAAGUUUAGAAAAUAAGGGACUUCCUAUCAUAAAAUACUUCAGCCACCACAAUAUAAGUAAAAGAUUCACACAUAUCAACUUCUUCAACAUAUAACAAAACUUUUGAGAUGGGAAAAUUAAUAAAAAUGUCUAUACUCUCAAUAAAACACAUAAACUCCUUAGCACAAACAAUAAAAUAAAGACUCUCAAUGGCACUCAUAAUUAGGGAUAUGCAUUGAACUUGAGAUUUUGACCAAAGUGAUUCAACCCUUGGAAUUGGGGAAUACUCAAUAUCAAAAUUGAUUAAAGUCUUUUUAAAUAAAGAAAAAGUAAGAUUUUCAACUUCAUGCACAUACUUAACAUCCAGAUUAAUAUGAAGAGGACAUAACACUCAACUCAACAUUGAAUUGAGAAUGAAAAUCAUGAGAGUCACAAAUGAUCAAUGUGCCAAGAGAAGAAAACAUUGCAAAUGAGGAAGAAAUACUAAAAACAUGAAAAGGUGGCUUAUGCUGAGAAAUUAAAAAAAUAUUGGGAAAUAACAAAAGGUAAAUAGAAAGGAUCAAGUGGUAGAUUGUAAGAUUGACAUUUAUCCCAUGAAAUCUUCAUUUCAUCUCCAAAGUUAUCUCUAUAAUAAUCAAGCUCGUUAUCACAAUCUGAAAUCCACUUGAGUUCGUACAUAUCAUUUUUCUAUAAACUUGAUCCUUGAACAUUCUCCAAGAAUUGGAUUGUAUCAUUCAUAGUUCGUUAAUCAAUGUCAACAUCACACUCCACAUCAACAGAAAAUAGUAAAACACCAAAAAGAAAACAAAUUAUGUAAUCAUGUUCUAUGAAAGUUAAAGACAACAACACACCAAAAAUAUGCAUAAUACCAACAUGAGCACACCCCACAACACCAAAAGUUCGAUCUAAUGGAGUAGCAUUAAUAACUUUAAGUGAUAUACUCUUUGAUUGAUGACUACAUGGUAUGGUAGAAGAAAAGAAUACAAUGAAAAUUAUAAGAAAGAGUAGAUCUAAGCAUAGACAUAACUAAAGUUCUAGAUCUUACAAAAAAUUAUUACAUAUCUAGAUUUCAAAAAGAAUGAAGAAAUAAAAACAAAAAGCACAAUCCUAAACACUAGAGCAAAGCACUUCUAAAAAACUUUGCCCAUCAGGGACAAAUUGCAAUAUCCCUCAACUGCACUAAUAUAAGUGCUCAAGAUAUAAGAAUGGUUAUAUUAAUUGGGGUUUAGAUUUUUAUUUAAAUACAAGAAUGGAUGGACUAUAUUUAGUUCUGAAUGAAUGGUCGAUAAGUUAGGGAAAUACAUAUAUAUACAUAUAUAUAUUUACAAACCUUACAGAUUAAAGUAUAAAAUAUUAUAAAUUGGUGGUAUUAUGUUGCUUUUGUUACCUUUAUAUAAUUACAACCAUCUUCAAUAAUAAAAAGUGUUAUGAAUAUCAAAUUACAAAUUUAAAUAGUUACAAUUUAAGUUCCUAGUUUUGACCAAGCUUUAAUUUUAUUGUUUUCUCUCUAAGGGUUAUAUAUAUAUAGUAUGCAACCUAAAAAAUAUUAUUAUUUCAAAUUUUUAUUAUGUGGUAUACCACAUCAAAUAUAAUUAAAUAUAUUAUUUGCUUCAAAGAGUAAGUCAAAGGUUGUAUAUAUACUUGUUCACUGCCAUACCAUAUUUAUAUUGAAUUUAAAAUAUGUAUAUUUGAGCUGAAAAAAAAUUCAAUGAGAAUAAUAAAAAUUUCAAAAAAUAAAAUGUUUUAUAAAAUUACAAUACAAUUUUAAAUAUUUAUACAAUUUUAAAUAUUCUAUUAAAGUGUUCUUAAGAAGAAAAAACUAAUUUAACACUAUUCUAAAUUUGUAUGUUGUUACUCCUAACAAAAUAAUCUGUAUUAUUUAAAUUUUGUAAAUUUAUAGAUAUUCUUAACUUUUAAUUUUUUGCUUUAAAUGGAAAAUUUUAAAGUAAAUAAAUUUUCCUUAUUUUUAAAAAGUUAAACAAAAUAAAUUUUAAAUCAUGUUAAAAACUUUACCCUAACAAACUAAACUUUAGGUUUAAUGGUGAUGGAUGAAGCUUCUAGAAGUGUAGGAAUCAGUCCGGUAGGAAAUGUGAGCUUGGAUCCAGCUUACCCUUGUCUUGUCCUCUCACAAGAUCUAAUUCACGAGAUUUUCAAGAGCCUUUGGGAGAAGGCCAGCCAGGGUUUGCUCUUCCUCUCUCUCUCUUUUGUCUGAGCUCCACAACAGAUGUUGCCCAGGCGGAUGAAUCCAACGUAGGCGCAACCUCGAAAAGAACCAAGUCCAAAGCAGAGCUUUCUAAAGAUCAUAGAGAAAUGCAGCCAGUUUCGUUUCCGUUUUGCAGCAAAUGCGAAUGCUCUGUGAGUUGCUCAAGCUCUUCGUCAGAGGUCGGGUUUACUCUAUUUCGUUUCAAAGAAGGAACUAGAACCAAAACUUCUGGGCUGAUUGAUGCAGAGGCAGUCGGGCGAGUGGGAAUCAUUGCAGAGGCCGAGGGAAAGGAUCGCAUCGAAGCAACACAUUUCGAAAGAAUGCUACCGCAGUUUUUGCUGGACUUCUAGCUAGAGACGAAGAUGGUGCUCGCGGGAAGAACUCUAGCAGCGGUAUGAGAAGGCUGGCCAGAGGACUCGCUACAGACUGUGCAAGCAAACAGCUAAACUUGAGAGAGUACCUCGAUUCGAAGCUAUGCUCCUCCGAUGUCUCCACUCUGGCUCGUCUCAUCCGCGAGUGUGGUUCUCUGGAAAGCCUGUUAGAUGCACAAAAGAUUCACAGUCACAUUGUAGAGUCUGGCUUUCAGGAAAGCUUUUACCUGCGUGAGCGCCUCGUCCACAUGUAGCUCAAGUGUGGCAGUGUAGAGAACGCCGAGGACGUCUUCUUGGACAGGAACAGGAUGGCUCACUUCCGAGACGUCACGACGUGGACGGCGAUGUUGUCCGCAUACUCUCGUCAAUCCAGCAGCACCACCAAGGUGCUCGAGUUCUACUGCCAGAUGCUCCAGCACGGUGUCAAGCCCGACAGCUUCACUUUCACUGCCGUGUUGAAAGCCUGUGUUUCUGCGAGGAGAGCGUUGAGUGGCGGGAAGGCGAUCCACUCCCAGAUCUUAGAGAGCGGGCUAGAGGACAACGAGAUCAUCGGAACUUCGGUCGUGAGCAUGUAUGGGAAGUGCAGCAGCCUGGUCGAUGCUCGAGCCUGGUUUGAUGGAGUUUGUGUCUGAUGUCCGCAUGGAGUGAUGUUGUGGAACGCCAUGAUCUCGGCUUACGUCCAGAACGGCUGCUGUGGACAGUCCUUGGAGCUCUUCAUGCUGAUGCUCUUGGAAGGUGUCGCUCCAAACAGUGUCACGUAUGUCACGGUUCUCAAUGCUUGCAGCUCUACAUUGACGCUGGGUAUUGGCACGGCGGUUCACAUCUGUGUUUGCGAUCUCGGCCUCGAGUCGGACGUCCUCAUUGAGCGGGAAGAGCGGGAAGCUGGACGAAGCCCGGAAGAUCUUUGAAAGGAUCGAAGCUCCGGACUUGGUGUCGUGGAACUCGAUGAUAUCAGCUCUUGUCCGGGACCGCCAAGGAGACGGUGCUCGGACGUUGUUCAAGCAGCUGCUUCUGGAAGGCGUCACUCCAAAUGAGAUCACUCUCAUCUCUACUAUCAAAGCCUGUGCUUGUCCGGAAGAUUUGACGGAAGGAAAGCUGAUCCACGCCUGCAGCUGUGAAAGUGGCCGGGCCUCAGUACUCUUCGUGAGGAAUGCUCUCGUAGUCAUGUAUGGAAAAUGCGGCUGUCUAGAGAAAGCUCGCGAACUGUUUGAAUCUGAAACAUUGGAGAGGAACUUAGUCAGUUGGAGCGUCAUGGUUGCGGCUUAUGCAGAAAACGGUCAUGGUCACGAGGCCCCCUGCAGCUCUUCAGGAUGAUGAUUCUGGAGGGUCAAAGCCUCGACUCAGUCGUCUUUGUCAACGUCCUCAAUGCUUGUUCUUCGGCAGGAAACGCUAAGUUGCUGCUGCGGGAGAAGCUCUUCACGGCAACUUAGUUGAGGCUGGAUUCGAAUCGGACGUAGUAGCGGCAACGGUACUCGCGAACAUGUCUAUCAAGUAUGGACGUUUGGAAGACGGGCGACGUGUUUUCGACAGAAUGGAGGCCCGGACGCUGUCAGCUGGAACACCAUGAUCUCGGGCUAUGCUCAGAACGGUCGUCCCAAAGAAGCCUUGGAACUCUUCCGCCAAUGGAUCCCGGAGUUGCUGACAAACGGACGUAUGUAGCAGCAUUGGAUGCUUGCGCCUGCUCAGUGGCUGCAACCGAAGGAAACUUAUACACCAGCGAAUACUUCAGCAGAAGAUGAGCGUCGACGUAAUCCUGGGAACAGCCAUUGUCAACAUGUAUGGAAAAUGUGAUUGCUUGAGCGAAGCCGAGGAGUUCUUUGACAGUAUACCUCUUCCCGACGUCGUCACUCGCAAUGCCAUGAUAGCUGGUUAUGCUCAGCACGGUCACCUCGGCAAAGCUCUUGGUCUGUUCGCCAAAAUGAAGCAGGAGGGAGUGAGACCCGAUGGUGCCACCUUUCUUAGUGUUCUGUGUGCUUGUAGCCAUGCUGGUAACUUGAAAAAAAGAUCCGAGUUCUUCAUAUCAAUGCUGGUCGAUUACGAGGUUAAGAUUUCUGUUGAGCACUGUGGUUGCAUGCUGGAUCUGCUGAGCCGGUCAGGAAUGCUGCGUGAAGCAGAGGAUCUCCUAAAAAAGUAUCCGACUUCAGCCAGAGAUGCCGAGUGGAUAACGUUGCUGGCCGCGUCUAUGACUCAAAGUGAUGCAACCGUGGCUCAAAACGCAGGAGAGGGCCUUAUGAACUGCCGCCCCGAGAGCUCUUUCCCAUACGUCGUGCUUUCCACUGCUUUGAGCAUUGAUGAGGAGGCUGCCUGAGAACUAGAGCUAUAGCGUGUAAAAUUCAACACACCUGAAUCGAAAAAUUGCCUGCAGAAAAAAAAAGUUUGUGAUGAAGCAAUGUAAAAUAGUAAGCCUACCCAUUGAGGCACAUGCUAAAAGUUUUCACACACGUUUCUCUCAUCAGCUCGUGAACUUGGUCAAAAGAUUGCCUUGCGUCCACAAACUUGACGACAAAAGAAAAGUCUCCGUCUUUUACCCUGCAGACCUUUGUACUGUAAGGCAACUUUUUUCUGAAAAUCCAGCUGCUCAUCUCCAUAUCCACCGCGCACAGCAGCUUCCUAAACAAAAAAUAAUGAAAGAGCUGCUUUAUAGAAUGUAGAGUACCUCUGGCGGACCAGGUCUGCAGCAGGAAGUCCAACCCCGAGAGCCUGUCCAGUUAAACGCUAAAGCUUAGGCAGCGGUCUGCACCUUGCACCACUCAAGAUCCAGUCCCUUCGCAGCAGAGAAAGCCACUCCUGAGUACGAAUAUCGAUCUACUACCAACGUUAUUCCAGCCAUCAAUUUCAUUUCCAUCUGCAGUUUGUAAGAAAACAAGAUGUGCUGUUCUCAAAAACUAGUCAAGAAAGUCACACCUCUUCUCGCAGCCGUUUGCUGAAAACAAAAGAUGAACAGCACGAUCAUCAAGCUCAGCCCCCAAGGAAGCCGAAAUCGAGCUACCGAUGGCCGUUGUCCUGGAAACCGCCAAGCCUCCGCCUUCAGCCCUUCAAAAACUCAACCAGCCAGUGACACUGAGAGCUCUUCCCGCUUCUGUCCAGACCCUCCAGGACAAUGAGCGUCCCGCGCUUCUCUGCUCCCACUGCAAGCUGCAUUGAAGUAACGGCUUGGAGGCACUCCUCCAUCAAGUCGACAUGGCCCUGCUUCUGCUUCAUCAACCAUUCCCCCAUUCCCUGUCGUUGAGGUUCCAUAACAGGCGCAUGACUGAGCAGCUCCAGAGCAAUGUUCAUCCACUGUUUACAAAUUACAGAUCGAUGUAGUUAGCUUGCUAGCUCAAACAAGCGACUUACCUUCAGAAAACUACACGACACGUUCGGUUCAAGCUGCAAAGAACGAAGAAAGAUCCUCAGUCACAAAACCAAAAGCUUUCUCAAAAUACCUUUUCAGCAGCAUGAACGUGUUCAGCAGCUCUGUCAUACUGCACGAGGCCCAGAUAGCAGAGACAUAAAGCACGCAAUGCCUUCGCUCUCAUGGUAGUUUCCUCUUCCGCAGGCAGGUAAUGCAUGGCAGCCUCGAACAAUGGCUGUAGGAAGAAAUCCGAGCCACUAUUACAAAAACACCCCAAAAGUCAGCUCUCAUAUAACGGUGAAAUAAAAGAAAUUCAGAGAAGCGCCAGACUUCUCUUGUGGAUGAAAACCUCUAAAGCAAAACGAAGAACGUUUUCUCUGAAACGGCGUCGUCUCUUUGAUCAAGAACGUCAAAGCGGACAGGCACACCUCCACUGCAGCCUUGUCAUAUGAUAUGAGAGCUACAAGCUCCUCCUCGGCCUCUUCGUAACGACUGAGCCCAAUCAAUGCCUUGAUUGAAGGCCAGGAACGACGUGCUAGGAUGAUCCGAGGAGCCUUUGAGAACCGAAACGCAGUUGAGAACUCCCUCGAAGUUCCCAUUCUGGAGCGGCAAUGUACCUGAGAAUUGUGAGCUCCUGGCUUGUCACAGUUUGCUCCUCGCCCUUGCUCUUGCACGAUCCCUUGAGCGCCUCGGAGCAAAUCUCAUAAGCUUACUCCAUGUACUUGACGGACUCAGCCUUUGAUUCCGACCCCUGGAGCGCCAGAAGUGAUUUCCCGUAGAGAAGAUAUAUGUCCACCCGCUCUUGAUACCUCUCCAGGGAGUCUUGGAGAAAACCACGGGCCCUCCCUAGCAUGCUGGAAGCUAGCGCCUUGUGUGACAUCUCCCACACUGUUCUUUCUUGACCGCACAAGGCACAGAUCAAACAUGACCUGCUGCUCUUCCCUGCUGCCGAUCGAUGAGAGACGAUCUCGGUGGCUCGCGGCCGCGAUUUGUAGUUCCGGAUCUUGUGCGAUCAAAGGAAGAAUGUAACCAUCUUGAGAGUGCUCGACCAACGACACCGGCCCACAAGAGCAUCUCGACAAAGGCGCGCGUGGUAUUCCCCUAAGGAAUCCACCACUGCGCGGCCUGGCGGCUGGUAGCUUAGCUUCAAGACUUGCUGAUUCCCAGAGAAGAAGCCUGCUAGGUGAUCGAUCCUCCGCAGCGGAUUCACAGUAGCCACAUCGCCGAUCCCUGCACUAAGAACCUCCGAGAUGAUCAUCCUGAGAGCAAGCGAUCCUCGGGUCCAGUCCUGCGAAGCCCUAGAAUAUUUUCCCGCUCAACUUUGAAUCCAUAAACCCUAACCCUGGGCGGUACACGUGCCAACACAUAAUUGGGUUUUUAUUCGGGCGAAUUAAAUAUUGCCACGUGUAUAAGUUUUGAUAGAGCACAUGACUGACAUGAGAACAUGUAAGAUUAUAGCGACUUGCGGAUUAAUGCGACAGCGAUGGAAGGUCUCUUGGUGGGACAUUGAUUUAAUCUUCUCUUCUUUUGAAAGGUACGCUCGUUACACGCAACUAGACUAAGUCGUGCUUUACUCUUCUUUUCUUCCGUUUCUAAUGGUGUCAUUUAAAAAAAUUAGAAAAACAAUGGAACACGCAUUCACGCGCAAACGUGUUGCAUCAUUUUCUAUGUUUGAACUGGCGAGAGAAGUUAUAUGCUUGUGUUGAGCAAAAUACAGAGCUUGUAUCCAUGGCCAACCUCGAUCCCACGGGUGUGCUGAGAGCGCUUGUUUCUGAAGCUGUUAGAGAAGUGAUUGGGCUUGCCAAGUCUGCCAUUCAUUGCAAGAAGAAGUGCAGCGAGUUGGAAGUUUCAUUGACCGAAG